UACGUAGGGGGCGAGCGUUGUCCGGAGUUACUGGGCGUAAAGCGCACGCAGGCGGUCUGUUAAGUUUGGAGUGACAGUUGGUGGCUUAACUGCCAAAGUGCUUCGAAAACUGACAGACUUGAGGGCUUCAGAGGGACACGGAAUUCCGGGUGGAGUGGUGAAAUGCGUAGAGAUCCGGAGGAACACCAAAGGCGAAGGCAGUGUCCUGGGGAGUACCUGACGCUCAGGU
rnacentral:rRNA from 1 species